rnacentral:rRNA from 2 species
AAGGCGACUUUUUGUCUGUAACUGACGUGAGGCGCGAAAGCUGGGAGCAAACAGGAUUAGAUACCCUGGUAGUCCACGCUGUAAACGAUGAGUGCUAAGUGUUAGAGGUUUCCGCCCUUUAGUGCUGAAGUUAACGCAUUAAGCACUCCGCUGGGGAGUACGUCGCAAGACUGAAACUCAAAGGAAUUGACGGGGGCCCGCACAAGUGGUGGAGCAUGUGGUUUAAUUCGAAGCAACGCGAAGAACCUUACCAGGUCUUGACAUCCUCUGACAACCCUAGAGAUAGGGCUUUCCCUUCGGGGACAGAGUGACAGGUGGUGCAUGGUUGUCGUCAGCUCGUGUCGUGAGAUGUUGGGUUAAGUCCCGCAACGAGCGCAACCCUUGAUCUUAGUUGCCAGCAUUCAGUUGGGCACUCUAAGGUGACUGCCGGUGACAAACCGGAGGAAGGUGGGGAUGACGUCAAAUCAUCAUGCCCCUUAUGACCUGGGCUACACACGUGCUACAAUGGAUAGUACAAAGGGUUGCAAGACCGCGAGGUGGAGCUAAUCCCAUAAAACUAUUCUCAGUUCGGAUUGUAGGCUGCAACUCGCCUACAUGAAGCCGGAAUCACUAGUAAUCGCGGAUCAGCAUGCCGCGGUGAAUACGUUCCCGGGCCUUGUACACACCGCCCGUCACACCACGAGAGUUUGUAACACCCGAAGUCGGUGGGGUAACCUUUUAGGGGCCAGCCGCUA